GCCAGGUGUGGUGGCGCAUGCCUGUAAUCCCAGCUACUCAGGAGGCUGAGGCAGGAGAAUUGCUUGAACCCAGGGGCAGAGGUUGCAGUGAGUCAAGAUCAUGCCUCUGCAUUCUAGCCUGGGCAACAGAGCAAGACUCUGUCUCAA
ensembl:misc_RNA Metazoa_SRP Metazoan signal recognition particle RNA